GGUCUCCCCUUCCAAGCCCCGCCCUCGCUUGCCAUUUCGCCGCCUUGCGUCGCCCACGCGUUGUGAGAGCCAAGUACUGAGGAAAAGAAAAGAAAAAGAAAAAAGAAAGAAAGAAAGAAAGAAAGGAGGGGAAGAGUAAAAGAGUGUUUUUGGGGUUUUUUGGGUAGAAGAUUUUUGAUGGGGGCUUCGAAGCUUCUGAUAUCUUUGAUCAUCUUCUCGGUUGUGGUAGUGGGAGUGUUGGCCGACGCGGGGAUCGAGGACGAGAUCGCCGGAACCGGGGCCACGCAUGCGGCGCUGAGGCUGGAAUUAGAGCAGCUGAGGACCAAGAUCUCGGCCCUAGAAUCUAGUAUUUCAGAUAGAACCAAGGAACUAAAAGGCAAAGAUGAGAACACUGCGCAGUUGGAAAGGACUGUUCAAGAAAAGUCAGCAAGAAUUGCCUCAUUGCAGAGCGAGAUAGAAUCGCUUCAGAAAAAGGGCUCUGUUGAUGCGGAGGAACUAGUGGGGAAGGUCUCUGCUCGAGCUGUUGAACUUGAGAAGCAGGUUGAGAAACUUAGAAAUGAGAUUGAAUCGCAAACUAGGAAGAGCAAUGCAUUGGAGGCUCAGGCCAUUGGAGCAGAGAAGAAGGUGCAAGAUUUGAAUUUGAAACUGGAAAGCCUUCAAAAGACCAAUGAUGAGCAAAAGCGCAGGAUUCAGAAAACUGAACGUGCUCUUCAACUGGCGGAGGAAGAGUUGCUGAGGGCACAGUUAGAAGCAACAGCAAGAUCAAAACAGCUGACAGAGGUCCAUGGAGCAUGGCUGCCACCUUGGCUUGCAUACCAUAUAAGUCAUUUUCAGGAGCUUGCAGCAACUCACUGGAAGGAGCGUGCAAAACCAGUAUUGGUUGUUUUCCUGCAAAAGGCAUCAGAGAAAUCAGCACAAGCGCAGAAAUGGGCUGAACCCCAUCUGGAGACAGCUAAGACAAAAUGGAUCCCUGCCAUUAAAGAACAGUGGAUGAUCUUUGUAACCCAUGCUGAACCCUACAGACAAACGGUAUCUACUAAAACUGUUGAGGUUUAUGAGGCAUCCAAGACUACCAUUACAAUGCAUAUUGUCAAAAUACAAGAGCUGGCAGAUCCCUAUUACCAGGAAGCCAAGAAGUUAUCUAAACCCUACAUUGAUCAAGUUGCUACUGUCACCAAACCACAUGUUGAAAAAGUGCGAGUUGCUUUGAAUCCCCAUACAAAGCGUGUCGUUCAGGCAUAUGGAAAAUUUCUUGAAUCAGCAACAACAUAUCACCGCCAGGCUCAAGCUGCUGUCCAUGAACAUCUAAAGAAACAUGAAUUAACAAAACCUCUUGCAACUAAGGAGUUGGUGUGGUUUAUGGCUUCUGCUUUACUGGCAUUACCAAUCUUCUUCUUAUACAGACUCCUAUCAGAUAUUUUCUGCCCUAUUAUGUCAUGUAUAGCGGUAAGAAGACAAGGAAACCUGCACGAAAGGCCCAUGCAAACCCUUCUCACCGCAGACCUAAGCGCAGGCAUGAUGAUAAGAAAGCAACAGAAAAUCAAUAAAAAAAUAUAAUAUCGAUCUUUCUGAUGUUUAUAUGGAAGACUGUGCACGGUCCCAGAAUGUAGUUCAUAGGCUGCUUUGUUGGAGGAAAUCUAAGCAGUGGAGCAAUCUCUUGACAUGCAUUAGUUACGUAGGGGUUCGGUUAUUUGCAGGUUUCAUCUGUGCAUUUGACCUUUUGGAGCUCCAGAGCUUUGCUAUCGGUGGAAGAUAGUUUUGGGGUUUGAAGGGACCUUCGUAUGAAUUUUUUUAGAACAUCCAGCACGAACGAUACGUCUCUUUGUUGUAGAAUGGCGUCCGCAUUUCUUGCGGCGGCACUUAUUUAUGCUUCAUAAAAGAUGUAUUUUUUUCCUUCUCACGCUGAUUCUUGUAUUUGGAUCUGUGCACCGAACUGCCAAAAUCCAUGUUGUAUUAGGGGGAUCGAUUGCUGCUGAAUGCUUGCCUUUGAGUUAAAUUUCCUGUUUAUGCUUGGAAAGACA